rnacentral:rRNA from 1 species
UACGUAGGGAGCAAGCGUUGUCCGGAAUCAUUGGGCGUAAAGCGCGCGUAGGUGGCCUCGUAAGUCCGCUGUAAAAGUCAAAGGCUCAACCUUUGAAAGCCGGUGGAUACUGCGGGGCUAGAGUACGGAAGAGGCGAGUGGAAUUCCUGGUGUAGCGGUGGAAUGCGCAGAUAUCAGGAGGAACACCAAUAGCGAAGGCAGCUCGCUGGGACGUUACUGACGCUGAGACGCGAAAGCGUGGGGAGCAAACAGG